rnacentral:misc_RNA from 1 species
UCCGGUUUGACACCGGCAGUCUUUCCAGAGUCCCCGACUUUACUCGCUGGCAACUGGAAACAGGGGUUUCGCUCGUUAUGGGACUUAACCCGACAUCUCACGACACGAGCUGACGACAGCCAUGCAGCACCUGUGGCAGGUUCCGGACUGGAUACCGUUGGGGGUGCGUUUCCGUCCCCUACUUCCUGCCCCUUUCGGACAUGUCAAGCCCAGGAUAAGGUUCUUCGCGUAGCCUCGAAUUAAGCCACAUGCUCCACCGCUUGUGUGAGCCCCCGUCAAUUCCUUUGAGUUUCAGCCUUGCGGCCGUACUCCCCAGGCGGGGUGCUUAAUGCGUUAGCUUCGGCACGGACGGGGUUGAUAUCCGCCCACACCUAGCACCCAACGUUUACGGCUAGGACUA